rnacentral:tRNA from 1 species
AAUCGGUAGACGCUACGGACUUAAAUAAUUUGAGCGUUAGUAGAAAAACUUACUAAAUGCUAGCUUUCAGAUUCAGGGAAACUUAGGUUGAUAAAAAUAUAAGCAAUCCUGAGCCAAAUCUUAUUUCGUUUGAAAAUAAAAUAGGUGCAGAGACUCAAUGGAAGCUAUCCUAACGAAUAACAUUUUAAAAAUUAUUUAAAAUUUAUUUUUUAGAUAUUAAGCGAGGAUAAAGAUAGAGUCCAAUUUUACAUGUUAAUUUUAGCAACAAUUUAAAUUGUAGUAGAAAGAAAAUCCGUUGGCUUUAUUGACCGUGAGGGUUCAAGUCCCUCUACCCCCA